CUACGGGUGGCAGCAGUAGGGAAUAUUGCGCAAUGGGCGAAAGCCUGACGCAGCGAUGCCGCGUGAGUGAGGAAGGCCCUCGGGUUAUAAAGCUCUGUCCUAUGGGAAAAACGGUAUAUUGAGUAAUAUCUAAUGUAUUUGAUGGUACCAUAGAAGAAAGCACCGGCUAACUUCGUGCCAGCAGCCGCGGUAAUACGAAGGGUGCAAGCGUUGUUCGGAUUUAUUGGGCGUAAAGGGCGAGUAGGCGGAUAGAUCAGUCAGGUGUGAAAUCUCGGGGAUUAACCCCGAAACUGCGCCUGAAACUGUUUAUCUAGAAUCUUAGAGAGGGAAGGGGAAUUUCGCAUGUAGGAGUAAAAUCCGUAGAGAUGCGAAGGAACACCAGAGGCGAAGGCGCCUUCCUGGCUAAGUAUUGACGCUGAGGCGCGAAAGCGUGGGGAGCAAACAGGAUUAGAUACCCCUGUAGUC
rnacentral:rRNA from 1 species